rnacentral:rRNA from 1 species
UGAGGAAUAUUGGACAAUGGGCGCAAGCCUGAUCCAGCCAUGCCGCGUGCAGGAAGAAGCAUCUAUGGUGUGUAAACUGCUUUUGUACGGGAAGAAACACUCCUUCGUGAAGGAGCUUGACGGUACCGUAAGAAUAAGGAUCGGCUAACUCCGUGCCAGCAGCCGCGGUAAUACGGAGGAUCCAAGCGUUAUCCGGAAUCAUUGGGUUUAAAGGGUCCGUAGGCGGUUUAGUAAGUCAGUGGUGAAAGCCCAUCGCUCAAUGAUGGAGCGGCCAUUGAUACUGCUAGACUUGAAUUACAAGGAAGUAACUAGAAUAUGUAGUGUAGCGGUGAAAUGCUUAGAUAUUACAUGGAAUACCAAUUGCGAAGGCAGGUUACUACUUGUGGAUUGACGCUGAUGGACGAAAGCGUGGGGAGCGAACA